UACGGAGGAUCAAGCGUUAUCCGGAUUUAUUGGUUUGAAAGGGUGCGUAGGUGGCUAUUAAGUCAGGGUGAAAGACGGUAGCUUAACUAUCGCAGUGCCUUUGAUACUGAUGAGCUUGAAUGAACUAGAGGUAGGCGGAAUGUGACAAGUAGCGGUGAAAUGCAUAGAUAUGUCACAGAACACCAAUUGCGAAGGCAGCUUACUAUGGUUAAAUUGACACUGAGGCACGAAAGCGUGGGGAUCAAACAGG
rnacentral:rRNA from 1 species